rnacentral:rRNA from 1 species
GAAGAACGCUGGAGGCGUGCCUAAUAAAUGCAAGUAGAACGCAGUGGGGACGGGUGAGUAACACGUGGGUAACCACCCAUCAGAGGGGAUAACCCUUGGAAACAGGAGCUAAAACCGAUACUGAUGGAUGGACGCGAGGUGCAUUAGCUAGUGGGUGAGGUAACGGCUCACCACGGCCACGAGGACGAGCCGGCCGUGGAGUGUGCUCGGCCACCCUGGGACGUGUACACGGCCCAGACUCCUACGGGAGGCAGCAGUAGGGAAUCUUCCGCAAUGGACGAAAGUCUGACCGAGCCACGCCGCGUGAGUGAAGAAGGUUUUCGGAUCGUAAAACUCUGUUGUUAGAGAAGCGGUAUCUAACCAGAAAGCCACGGCUAACUACGUGCCAGCAGCCGCGGUAAUAC